AGUGGGGAAUAUUGGACAAUGGGCGAAAGCCUGAUCCAACCAUGCCGCGUGAGUGAUGAAGGCCUUCGGGUUGUAAAGCUCUUUUGACGGGGAAGAUAAUGACCGUACCCGUAGAAGAAGCCCCGGGUAAAUUCGUGCCAGCAGCCGCGGUAAUAAGAAUGUGGCCAGCGUUGUUUGGAAUCACUGGGGGUAAAGAAUGGGUCGGCGGCUUGUCAAAUCAGAAGUGAAAUCCCAGGGCUCAACCCUGGAAAUGCUUUUGAAAAUGUUGGGCUAGUGUCCCGGAGGGGGGGAUGGAAUUCCGAGUGUAGGGGUGAAAUUAGGAGAUAUUUGGGGGAACCCCAGUGGGGAAGGGGAUCACCUGGACGGGUACCGACGCCGGCGCGAAAAGUGGGGGGCAACAGGAUUAAUUACCCUGGUAGUCCCCACCGUUAACAAUGUGUACUAGUUGUGGGCAGCUUAGAUGUUCGGUGCCGCAGCUAACGCAUAAGCACACCGCCUGAGAC
rnacentral:rRNA from 1 species